UAGACACACACCUGCUCUUCACUACUCAGU
rnacentral:piRNA from 1 species